CUUAAAGCUUGUUAUCGUAUUCUAUCCUCAGCGGAAUUGUUCUGAAGGUCAGAAACAUUUGUUAACUAAAGCAAAAAUGGUUUAUUCCUAAAAAGUAGUCCCUAAAGUGUAGAAGAGGUUUAAAUUUUUAAAGAGAGACGUUGGCACACGGUUUAUAACUCUCGAUUCUUAAGAUUACAGCAAUGACUUCAAGGUGUGUGUGGCUCAGGGCACAGCAAGACAGCGGCUCACAGCCUCUUCCGUUGGCCGCAGAGACUCCUCCUUUGACAGUCACCUCUUCUGGGUCCGAAACUGUCUGAAGAGCCACUGGACAAUGAAGGGCCACAGGAGGAAGAAGAGCAGCGUGGGACCCGAGAACCUGAGGAGCCAAGGCCGAGCACUGGCCCGGGGCCUCUGCUGCCAAGAGGGAGGGAGUGAGUCAGGGGCCAGCGGAGGCCUCAGCACAGAUAGCACCCUCCUUAGGAAGCCGCCCCAGAACUCAGUGGGAACUUCUACUUCCCAGAGAUUUGUGAGGCUGGGGCAGAGAAUGCCCUACUCCCAUAUCUGCACCACUAGAAGGAGAAGGACACCUGGGGUCCGUAGUGUGUCCCUGACAGAUGGGUGAGCCCCAGCUCCCUCCCACAUCCUCCUCCCAGGGCCAUUCCAGGUGCCAAGAGAGCUGGAAGCUGGAGAGGCCGCAGGCUGUCUCCUCUGCGCCACAAAGCAAUGACCCUGUUGGUGUGGCCUGAAGACCCCAUAUUAUAAAGGAUGUGCCACAUAUUUCACAGGGCCCCAGGUUGCUCAGAUAUUAUUUCUAAAUAUUUUCUGCUAAAAGGAGCCAGAGCUCCUUGGAAAAGUGAGUGAUCCCAGGUCUGGAGCAGGGAAGAUAGACGUGAAUGUGAGACAUCUUGUGCCAGAAAGCAAGAAAGCUUUUAAAGAUUAAUGAGGUCUGUUAUAAGAACAUAGGACCCAGUUGGAAGGAGUCUCCACUGAUGAAAGUUAUGACAAUCUCAGCAUCAAAGAGAAUGACUGCAGUUGACUGAAAUAAUCUCUAAAAUCCAUGAGUCCGUAAUGAUGCUCAAAAGAAGAGAAAGUUGAAAAUCUGUCAUUGAAUUGGCUGUCAGAUCAACUUAUUUAAAAAAGAAAAAGAGAAUUAAGCACUUAUUCUGCCUUUUCAUAAGGCAUUAUAUUUCAGAGAAAUCCUAAAUGAUCAAGGAAACUACAGAAAAAUAACAGCUAAUAAAUGUUAAAGGAAUAAUAGAAUUUUAAAGUCAAAUUUUUGUAAUCACCAAAUAAAUUAUCAAUCCAGGCAAGGA